rnacentral:rRNA from 1 species
UACAGAGGGGGCAAGCGUUGUUCGGAAUUACUGGGCGUAAAGGGCGCGUAGGCGGCCGCCUAAGUCAGACGUGAAAUCCCUCGGCUCAACCGGGGAACUGCGUCUGAUACUGGGUGGCUUGAAUCCGGGAGAGGGAUGCGGAAUUCCAGGUGUAGCGGUGAAAUGCGUAGAUAUCAGGAGGAACACCGGUGGCGAAGGCGGGUCUCUGGGCCGAUACUGACGCUGAGGAGCGAAAGCGUGGGGAGCGAACAGG